ACUAAGAGAUGGACCCGCGGUGCAUUAGCUAGUUGGUAAGGUAAUGGCUUACCAAGGCAAUGAUGCAUAGCCGAGUUGAGAGACUGAUCGGCCACAAUGGGACUGAGACACGGCCCGUACUCCUACGGGAGGCAGCAGUAGGGAAUCUUCCACAAUGGGCGCAAGCCUGAUGGAGCAACGCCGCGUGUGUGAUGAAGGGUUUCGGCUCGUAAAACACUGUUAUAAGAGAAGAACGGCACUGAGAGUAACUGUUCA
rnacentral:rRNA from 1 species